CUACGGGGGGCAGCAGUGGGGAAUAUUGCACAAUGGGCGAAAGCCUGAUGCAGCAACGCCGCGUGGAGGAUGAAGCAUUUCGGUGUGUAAACUCCUUUUAUAAGAGAAGAUUAUGACGGUAUCUUAUGAAUAAGCACCGGCUAACUCCGUGCCAGCAGCCGCGGUAAUACGGAGGGUGCAAGCGUUACUCGGAAUCACUGGGCGUAAAGAACGCGUAGGCGGAUUUUUAAGUCUUGAGUGAAAUCCUAUGGCUCAACCAUAGAACUGCUUGAGAAACUGGAAAUCUAGAAUCUGGAAGAGGUAGAUGGAAUUAGUAGUGUAGGGGUAAAAUCCGUAGAUAUUACUAGGAAUACCAAAAGCGAAGGCAAUCUACUGGGACAGUAUUGACGCUGUGGCGUGAAAGCGUGGGGAGCAAACAGGAUUAGAUACCCUAGUAGUC
rnacentral:rRNA from 1 species